rnacentral:rRNA from 1 species
GACCUCAAUCAGCAAGCAAGGCUAGCU